CUUCCUUCCCCACAGCAUCCAAGGACCAAGGGUGGCCCCACCUAAGGGGAUGAGGUGAAGAGUGGUGGUGCUUUGGCAAGUUCAAUACAAAGAAAUAUUGUGCUGGCAUUCUCAUGGUGUAGAUGACCUCAGGACUGAACUGUACAAGGGAAAAAUAGGUCUCUGACUGGAAUGAACAUUUUCUUGAAUCAGCUAUAUAGAGAGAGAGGACUAGGUGUGACCCCACCUAGCAGCCUGGACACUUUGUAACUUAGCAACUGAUGACCUGAAGGUCUACCCCAACUUGGAAGCCAGCCGGUUUUGGCCAGUGGGAGAACAAAAGGCUGAAGAGAGAGCCACCAAGUGAUCUAUUUGCCCAGAAAAGAAGACAAGGAUGGAGGAGGGGUUUUUGGGGAGGUGAUAUAG